rnacentral:rRNA from 1 species
GACAGAGGAUGCAAGCGUUAUCCGGAAUGAUUGGGCGUAAAGCGUCUGUAGGUGGCUUUUUAAGUCCGCCGUCAAAUCCCAGGGCUCAACCUCGAGACGCCGGCGGAAACCAUCAGGCUAGAGUCCGGAAGAGGAGAGUGGAAUUCCUGGUGUAGCGGUGAAAUGCGCAGAUAUCAGGAAGAACACCCGUGGCUAAGGCGGCUCUCUAGUACGGUACUGACGCUGAGACGCGAAAGCGUGGGGAGCGAACAGG